GCCCGCAGCAUAUUGCGCAACGCGCCGCCGCGCCGUCGAGUGAGCAGGACGCGACCCCGGCCUCGUGCUGUGCAGCCCGCAGCAUGCCGUGCAACGCGCCGCCGCGCCGUCGACUGAGCAGGAGCCGCCGCGACGCGGGCCUCGUGCCGUGCAACCCGCAGCAUGCCGCGCGCCGCGCCGUCGAGUGAGCAGGAGCCGCCGGCGCUCGUACACAAUAAGCAGACAGCCAUGCAGCUGGAUGGAUUUUUCCUUGAGGAGCACACACACCUAUGAAAACCGCAAACCGCCGGCUUGCUUGAUCGGUGGCACGACUCAACGGAACACGCACGCGAACACAACCGUUUUCAUGACCGAGCGUGUCUGUGGAAGCCAGCUCUCCUACCCAGGCCAUUCUUUGCGAGACCGGCGAAGACAGCUUCAGCCUCCCCGCCUCCCCGCCAAGGAUGGAAUCACGGAAAGAUCUGCUUCAUCGAAACCGUGUCCGCGAGGACGACGGGCAGGUACAUACAUACAUAUACCCAAGGUCGAUGUUGGCCGAUGCUUGUGGUUGCAAUUUCAUAUCCUGGCCGGUGAUGUAUUGAUGCUCAUGGUGAGCCAUGGAAUAAUAACCGGGAACUCUUCAUCUCUAUGUCAUACUGGAUGAAUCCUUCCUCUUAUCCACGCCACUGGAAUCAUGCGCCGCCGCCGGGAAGCCCACCAUAUCUAGCCUCCCCUGGUGCACCCCCCCGUCCAUGGUCGGUCCGUAUCCCACGUUGCGGGAGCCGCAGCGAGCCACGGGAGCCAGGAGCGGCGGUGCUAAGCGGGCGGGGCUGGCAGCGCAGGCGGCCGGCGGCGGCACUAGAUCCGAGGAACGCCACGGGAGGCGCGUCGGGCAGGGACAACCAUGGCCGAUGGAGUUGAGCGGCGGUCAGUGAAGGCCAGCAGGCAGUGGAGUCCAGCCACGACCUUGCGGAGGAGCAGAGUUGUUGAUGGAACAUAUGAUGAACUCUGUGAACAGAUGGUUGAAAAUCUAUGAAGUUGGAGGUCGGAGUGCAUCCUAUGAACAUGCAUCACGUAUUCAUGAAAGACCAAUUGUGAGCUGGCUAUGGUCUGCUGGAUGUCUGUCUUUUUGGACCAUUCUCAAACUCCUCUCUGGUCAGUCAAACCCUUCAGGACGUUGCGCGGGCGGCGGCACUAGAUCCGAGGAACGCCACGGGAGGCGCGUCGGGCAGGGACAACCAUGGCCGAUGGAGUCGAGCGGCGGUCAGUGAAGGCCAGCAGGCAGUGGAGUCCAGUCACGACCUUGCGGAGGAGCAGAGUUGUUGAUGGAACAUAUGAUGAACUCUGUGAACAGAUGGUUGAAAAUCUAUGAAGUUGGAGGUCGGAGUGCGUCCUAUGAACAUGCAUCACGUAUUCAUGAAAGACCAAUUGUGAGCUGGCUAUGGUCUGCUGGAUGUCUGUCUUUUUGGACCAUUCUCAAACUCCUCUCUGGUCAGUCAAACCCUUCAGGACGUUGCGCGGAGUGUAAGAUGCAAUGCUGCUCAAACUCAAAGUCUCCAGUGCAAAUCUUCAGCCACGACUGUCAAACAAUCUGAUCCCAAAGCUUCAGGGAAAGUUCAAGGGCCUAAACUGGACGAUGGAAGCGGUGGGUUCCAUUUCGGCAAAGGAGGCGGCGGUGAUGGAGGGGAUGGUGGCGGCAGCAACCGCUCCUUCUCUAAACCUCAAGGAGUUUGAGAAGUACUACCUGCUUGCUCGAACGCCUUUUGCAGGAUAUGACGAUGUGGAGCUAGGGCAAUCAUCAUGAGUCUUGUUAGUAGUAGUGUCUCUUCUGUUCGAUGCGUGAAAUUUCUAAAUGGUUGUUUCUUAGUCUGGAAGUGCAUCAAUGAACUGUCAUGACUGGUUAUGCUAUGUGUCCUUGUCUUCUAAACAUGUAUGUUGACCGGUGAAAAGCUCAAAAUGUUAUAGGAUUGAGUCUAAGAUGCUGAAACUUGAUGUCAUCUGGCGCUGUGCGUAAACACGAGGAAAUAUAUGUGCAACUGAGGUUUUGCUCUUAA